CCUACGGGAGGCAGCAGUGGGGAAUUUUGGACAAUGGGGGCAACCCUGAUCCAGCAAUGCCGCGUGAGUGAAGAAGGCCUUCGGGUUGUAAAGCUCUUUUGUCAGGGAAGAAACGGCAGUUUCUAAUACAAGCUGCUAAUGACGGUACCUGAAGAAUAAGCACCGGCUAACUACGUGCCAGCAGCCGCGGUAAUACGUAGGGUGCAAGCGUUAAUCGGAAUUACUGGGCGUAAAGCGUGCGCAGGCGGUUAUAUAAGUCAGAUGUGAAAUCCCCGGGCUCAACCUGGGAACUGCAUUUGAGACUGUAUGGCUAGAGUGUGUCAGAGGGGGGGUAGAAUUCCACGUGUAGCAGUGAAAUGCGUAGAUAUGUGGAGGAAUACCGAUGGCGAAGGCAGCCCCCUGGGAUAACACUGACGCUCAUGCACGAAAGCGUGGGGAGCAAACAGGAUUAGAUACCCUGGUAGUCCACGCCCUAAACGAUGUCUACUAGUUGUCGGGUCUUAAUUGACUUGGUAACGCAGCUAACGCGUGAAGUAGACCGCCUGGGGAGUACGGUCGCAAGAUUAAAACCGUUAAAGGAAUUGACGG
rnacentral:rRNA from 1 species